GAUGAAGAACGUAGCGAAAUGCGAUAAGUAAUGUGAAUUGCAGAAUUCAGUGAAUCAUCGAAUCUUUGAACGCACCUUGCGCCCUUUGGCUAUUCUGAAGGGCAUGCCUGUUUGAGUAUCGUGAACACCUCAACUCUCAUGGUUUGCCAUGAUGAGCUUGGACUUGGGGGUUUUGCUGGCCUUCGGUCGGCUCCUCUCAAACGGAUCAGCUUUCCAGUGUUUGGUGGCGUCACGGGUGUGAUAACUAUCUACGCCUGUGGUUUUCUGCCAGAUAACCUUCAGCGAUGGAGGUUCGCUGGGGCUCAUAAAUGUCUCUCUUCAGUGGAGACAGCUUUUUGGACGUUUGAUCUCAAAUCAGGUAGGACUACCCGCUGAACUUAAGCAUAUCAAUAAGCGGAGGA
rnacentral:misc_RNA from 1 species